GCUGGCAUGGUGACAUGUGCCUGUAGUCCCAGCUACUCCAGAUGCUGAGGCGGGAUGAUCACUGGAGCCCAGGAGUUCUGGGCUGUAGUUCACUAUGCCAGUCUGGUGUCUGCAUUAAGUUUGGCAUCAAUAUGGUAACCUCCAGAGAGCAGGGGACCACCAGGUUACCUAAGGAGGAGUGAGCCAGCCCAGGUUGAAAACGGAACAGGCCAAAACUCUCAUGCUGAUUAGUAGUGAGAUUGAGCCUUUGAAUAGCCACUGCACUCUAGCCUGGGCAACAUCGUGAGACCCCAUCU
rnacentral:SRP_RNA from 10 species